ACCACCAAGCCACCCUGGCACCGCACCCUUCAGCUCCAGCCUCAACCUUGCCACGCUUUCCACCUCCGUCGUUCCCUGCUUCUACCCCCCGUGAGCUUGCCUGCCUCCACAGCCUUCCCUGCUUAUCCCAUCCUCAGCUAUACUUGGAUACAAUGAGCGCAAUGAUGUUUGAUUCCCCGGAGGAUUCUGCCUGAAGUGGCUCCAGGCAGUCCAGCUGCAGGUAUCCAAGUCGAGAACAGGACAACUGGACAGGAUAAUGACUGACUACAACCGAUCCCAAAUCUCAAGGUUUCUAAUCUGUUAUCUUUUAAAC